rnacentral:rRNA from 1 species
GAUGAACGCUGGCGGCGUGCUUAACACAUGCAAGUCGAACGUGAGGGUGUAGCAAUAUGCCUGAAAGUGGCGAACGGGUGAGUAACACGUAGAUGACCUGCCCUGGAGUGGGGGAUAACCAUUGGAAACGGUGGCUAAUACCGCAUACAUCCAGAAGAUUGGGAAAUUUUCUGGGGAGAGCUCUGGUGCUCUGGGAGGGGUCUGCGUCCGAUUAGCUAGUUGGUGAGGUAAAGGCUCACCAAGGCGACGAUCGGUAGCUGGUCUGAGAGGACGAUCAGCCACACGGGAACUGAGACACGGUCCCGACUCCUACGGGGGGCAGCAGUGAGGAAUAUUGGGCAAUGGGCGAGAGCCUGACCCAGCAACGCCGCGUGGAGGAAGACGGCCUUCGGGUUGUAAACUCCUUUUGACAGGGAAGAGAGAGGACGGUAUUUGAGGAAUAAGCAUCGGCUAAUUCUGUGCCAGCAGCCGCCGUAAAAC